GACAGAGGGUGCAAACGUUGUUCGGAAUUACUGGGCGUAAAGAGCGUGUAGGCGGCUUUACAGGUCCGUUGUGAAAACUCGAGGCUCAACCUCGAGACGCCGGUGGAAACCGUAAAGCUAGAGUCCGGAAGAGGAGAGUGGAAUUCCUGGUGUAGCGGUGAAAUGCGCAGAUAUCAGGAGGAACACCCGUGGCGAAAGCGGCUCUCUGGGACGGUACUGACGCUGAGACGCGAAAGCGUGGGGAGCAAACAGG
rnacentral:rRNA from 1 species